GCGCCGGUGGUGUGAUGGCGUACAGCAUUCCCGCCCGGUCAGCAAGUGCGGGUUCGAGUCCCGCCUGGCGCU
rnacentral:tRNA from 1 species